AUUGAACGCUGGCGGCAGGCCUAACACAUGCAAGUCGAGCGGAGAGUCGGACGGGUGAGUAAUGCCUAGGAAUCAACAUGGUGGUAAGGGAUAACGUCCAGAAGGGGGAGAUAAGACCGCAUGCUAUCAAAGUAGUAUAGGUCGGAUUAGCUAGUUGGUGGGGUAAAGGCCUACCAAGGCGACGAUCCGUAACUGGUCUGAGAGGAUGAUCAGUCACACUGGAACUGAGACACGGUCCAGACUCCGACGGGAGGCAGCAGUGGGGAAUAUUGGACAAUGGGCGAAAGCCUGAUCCAGCCAUGCCGCGUGUGUGAAGAAGGUCUUCGGAUUGUAAAGCACUUUAAGUUGGGAGGCGUUACCAACAGAAUAAGCACCGGCUAACUUCGUGCCAGCAGCCGCGGUAAUAC
rnacentral:rRNA from 1 species